GACCUGAAAGAUUUCAAAAAAGUAAAUGAGAUCUAUGCAAAAUACUUUCCUGCACCAUUUCCCGCCCGCUCAACAUACCAGGUAGCAGCAUUGCCGAUGGAUGCCAAGAUUGAAAUUGAGUGCAUUGCUGAACUUCCCUGAAAACUUGAACUCUGGUGUCAUUUAGGGACUUGGCUAACUUCAGAUAUUGCUCAAGUUAAUAAAGUGGGAUGGGGGUGAAGUGAAUAUGACAAUUGUGGUCUACUUUUGUCUUGCUCUCCUCAACUGUUGCUGUAAGUGCGACACUAUCGGCGAAAUAGUGGUUUAGUGGACAUGAUUUAGAGCAAUGGAUAAGCCCCAAUGCAAUUCUGGAAUUGGGAAUGGACAAAAAAUGAUGACGUUAAAAAUUUUUUUAAUUAAAACUUUGUUGUAGUGGUGUUAUCAGCCAAUGUAUCAUUUCAAGAUUUACACCAAGACUUUCGUGUUCUAGUACAGAUGAUUUUGCGGCUUGGUCCUGGGUGA
rnacentral:misc_RNA from 1 species